rnacentral:rRNA from 1 species
GACGAACGCUGGCGGCGUGCUUAACACAUGCAAGUCACGGGGCCGCAAGGUAACGGCGAACGGUGCGUAACACGUGAGCAACCUGCCUAGAUGUGGGGGAGUAGCCGGCCCAACGGCCGGGUAAUACCGCAUACGGUCACGAGGAGGAGUCUCCUUCGUGAAGAAACCUCCGGGGCGAUUUAGAGGGGCUCGCGGCCUAUCAGCUAGUUGGUGAGGUAAUGGCUCACCAAGGCUUCGACGGGUAGCUGGUCUGAGAGGAUGGCCAGCCA